rnacentral:rRNA from 1 species
AGGACGAACGCUGGCGGCGUGCUUAACACAUGCAAGUGGAGCGACGAACCGGGGCUUGCCCUGGGGCAGAGCCGCGAACGGGUGAGUAACACGUGGGUUACCUGCCUCGAUGACCGGGACAACCCGAGGAAACUCGGGCUAAUACCGGAUGUGCCCGCAAGGGGAAAGGAAGCUUCGGCCUCCGCAUCGAGAUGGGCCCGCGGCCCAUUAGCUUGUUGGUGAGGUAAUGGCUCACCAAGGCUUCGAUGGGUAGCUGGUCUGAGAGGACGAUCAGCCACACUGGGACUGAGACACGGCCCAGACUCCUACGGGAGGCAGCAGUGGGGAAUCUUGCGCAAUGCGCGAAAGCGUGACGCAGCAACGCCGCGUGGGGGAAGAAGGCUUUCGGGUGUAAACCCUUUCAGUUGGGACGAAGCUUCUCCGGUGAAUAGCCGGACGGAGUGACGGUACCUUCACAAGAGCACCGGCUAACUACGUGCCAGCAGCCGCGGU